rnacentral:rRNA from 1 species
UACGUAGGGUGCAAGCGUUGUCCGGAAUUAUUGGGCGUAAAGAGCUCGUAGGCGGUUUGUUGCGUCUAUCGUGAAAACCUGCAGCUUAACUGUGGGCUUGCGGUGGAUACGGGCAGACUUGAGUUCGGUAGGGGAGACUGGAAUUCCUGGUGUAGCGGUGAAAUGCGUAGAGAUCAGGAGGAACACCCGUGGCGAAGGCGGCCCUCUGGCUCGACCCUGACGCUGAGAGGCGAAAGCGUGGGGAGCAAACAGG